AGGGGUAUGGUGUCAGUGGUAGCAUGCCGGUCUCCAAAACCGUUGGGCUGAGUUCGAGUCUUAGUACCCCUGCCA
rnacentral:tRNA from 3 species